GGGAGGCAGCAGUGGGGAAUUUUGGACAAUGGGCGCAAGCCUGAUCCAGCCAUUCCGCGUGCAGGAUGAAGGCCCUCGGGUUGUAAACUGCUUUUGGACGGAACGAAAAGGCCUUUUCUAAUACAGAGGGCUCAUGACGGUACCGUCAGAAUAAGCACCGGCUAACUACGUGCCAGCAGCCGCGGUAAUACGUAGGGUGCGAGCGUUAAUCGGAAUUACUGGGCGUAAAGCGUGCGCAGGCGGUGAUGUAAGACAGGUGUGAAAUCCCCGGGCUUAACCUGGGAACUGCAUUUGUGACUGCAUCGCUGGAGUGCGGCAGAGGGGGAUGGAAUUCCGCGUGUAGCAGUGAAAUGCGUAGAUAUGCGGAGGAACACCGAUGGCGAAGGCAAUCCCCUGGGCCUGCACUGACGCUCAUGCACGAAAGCGUGGGGAGCAAACAGGAUUAGAUACCCUGGUAGU
rnacentral:rRNA from 1 species